rnacentral:lncRNA from 1 species
AGACCUGGGGACAUCAGGUAGAGAGACUCAUUCAGACCUGGGGACAUCAGGUAGAGAGACUCAUUCAGACCUGGGACUAAUUCAGACCUGGGGACAUCAGGUAGAGAGACUCAUUCAGACCUGGGGACAUCAGGUAGAGAGACUCAUUCAGACCUGGGGACAUCAGGUAGAGAGACUCAUUCAGACCUGGGGACAUCAGGUAGGAAGAGAAAGCAGAAAUGUUUUGGCCCUCAGGACCUGAAUAAUACUUUGACAUUGAAACACAACAGCUAUACAUAACUAGGUGAAAGCAGACCUGACGCAACACACACACACACACAAUAAGCACACGCACACACACACACACACACACACACACACACACAAUAAGCACACUGUGGUAAGACUGUUUUGGGUUGCAUUUUGUCUGCAUUUAGCCAAUCUGUAACAAUCAGAAGAAUAAAAUACACAUCCAAACAUCUUGACCUUUCAACAAACAGCAAGAUGGAAAUGAACCUUGUGAAGGAAACAGCAACAUAAAGUGUUUUAAUAGGAGGUAACUGGCAGAAUAAAGGAAACUCCAACAGUGUUUUAAUAGGAGGUCGGGUCGUCCACCAGGUAACUGGCAGAAUAAAGGAAACUCCAGGUCCUCCACCAACCACCAGGUAACUGGCAGAAUAAAGGAAACACCAACAGUGUUUUAAUAGGAGGUCGGGUCGUCCACCAGGUAACUGGCAGAAUAAAGGAAACUCCAGGUCCACCAACCACCAGGUAACUGGCAGAAUAAAGGAAACUCCAACAGUGUUUUAAUAAGAGGUCGGGUCGUCCACCAGGUAACUGGCAGAAUAAAGGAAACUCCAGGUCCUCCACCAACCACCAGGUAACUGGGAGAAUAAAGGAAACUCCAACAGUGUUUUAAUAGGACGUCGGGUCCUCCACCAACCAGAACAGCUUUAAUACACCUUGACAUCGAUUCUACAAGUGUCUGGGAAGUCUAUCGGAGGGAUGAGACGCCAUUCUUCCACGAGGAAAUUCCAUCAUUUGGUGUUUUGUUGAUGGUAUUGAAGCCACCUUGCAGCCAUUUUGGCUCUCCUUAAUGAUGUGUAUAAACCCUGGAUGGCUGACAGGGGGGUGCUGUAUUGAAGCCACCGUGCAGCCAUUUUGGCUCUCCUUAAUGAUGUGUAUAAACCCUGGAUGGCUGACAGGGGGGGGGCUGUAUUGCAGCCAUUUUGGCUCUCCUUAAUGAUGUGUAUAAACCCUGGAUGGCUGACAGGGGGGUGCUGUAUUGAAGCCACCGUGCAGCCAUUUUGGCUCUCCUUAAUGAUGUGUAUAAACCCUGGAUGGCUGACAGGGGGGUGCUGUAUUGAAGCCACCGUGCAGCCAUUUUGGCUCUCCUUAAUGAUGUGUAUAAACCCUGGAUGGCUGACAGGGGGUGCUGUAUUGCAGCCAUUUUGGCUCUCCUUAAUGAUGUGUAUAAACCCUGGAUGGCUGACAGGGGGGUGCUGUAUUGAAGCCAUUUUGGCUCUCCUUAAUGAUGUGUAUAAACCCUGGAUGGCUGACAGGGGGGUGCUCUAUUGCAGCCAUUUUGUCUCUCCUUAAUGAUGUGUAUAAACCCUGGAUGGCUGACAGGGGGGGGGCUGUAUUGAAGCCACCGUGCAGCCAUUUUGGCGCUCCUCCAUUGUAAAUAAUAUGUUGGACGAUAUAGAAAUCCAUUUACUAAAUGUCAUUACAUUAAUUUCUGACAUGUUUAUUCCAUUAAGACACCGUAAUGUAUAAUUUUACAUAUGUGAGCUAAACUAAAAUAUUUUUUUAGCGCCCCCCCCAACCCCUUUAAAAAUACUAAUGUUACUGUCCCCCACUACAAACAACAACAAAUACUUAAAUACAUGUAAUGUUGUUCUUGAAACCUUUAAUUGUAAUGCUGUAAACUUUCCAUUCAAUCCUAUGGAGGACUGUCAAAAUGGCCG